rnacentral:ncRNA from 1 species
CCGGUAGAGUGACGGCGUCGUUCUCACACUCGUACGGGGGGAAGCCGGUGUAAAUCCGGCGCUGACCCGCAGCCGUGUGCCGCCUCCGGGCGGUGAGCCGGAUCGCCUCGCACGGACGUGACCG